GGGGGGGCAACUCCCUGAGUAAAGCGGCGCACGGGUGAGUAACACGUGGGUAAUCUGCCCUGGAGUGGGGAAUAACACCGGGAAACCGGUGCUAAUACCGCAUACGAUAGCGAGGUCUGCGGAUCUUGCGAUGAAAGGAGCAAUUCGCUCUAGGAGGAGCCCGCGGCUGAUUAGCUAGUUGGUGAGGUAACGGCUCACCAAGGCUACGAUCAGUAUCCGGUCUGAGAGGACGGUCGGACACACUGGAACUGAGACACGGUCCAGACUCCUACGGGAGGCAGCAGUGGGGAAUUUUUGGCAAUGGGGGCAACCCUGACCAAGCAACGCCGCGUGGGUGAUGAAGUCUCUUGGGACGUAAAACCCUUUCGACGGGGAAGAAAACCGCAAGGUUUGACGGUACCCGUAGAAGAAGCCCCGGCUAACUCCGUGCCAGCAGCCGCGGUAAUACGGGGGGGCGAGCGUUGUUCGGAAUUACUGGGCGUAAAGGGCGCGUAGGCGGUUCGCUAAGUUGGAUGUGAAAACUCUGGGCUCAACCCAGAGCCUGCAUCCAAAACUGGCGGGCUAGAGUUCUGGAGGGGGUAGCGGAAUUCCUGGUGUAGCGGUGAAAUGCGUAGAUAUCAGGAGGAACACCGGUGGCGAAGGCGGCUACCUGGACAGAAACUGACGCUGAGGCGCGAAAGCUAGGGGAGCAAACAGGAUUAGAUACCCUGGUAGUCCUAGCCCUAAACGAUGGAUACUUGGUGUGACUGGGAUUGAAUCCAGUCGUGCCGAAGCUAACGCAUUAAGUAUCCCGCCUGGGGAGUACGGUCGCAAGGCUG
rnacentral:rRNA from 1 species